AGCUCCGGGCAGCGACCCGCGAUGCGGCAUCCUUCCGUCCGGUCGGAGCCCUCCUAGCCCUCAGCGCGUCUAUUCCUAGCUUCGGUCCCCGCAGCCAUAUAAGCAAUGACACCCUCGCCGACUCGCCUGCCAGCUUGGCCGCCUCCCUGCAGAGGGCUGACGCUUCUCCAGAAGUUGUAAGAAAAGGAGGGAAAGCAGGCCAACCUCGAGGAUCUCCCCAGCCUUGGCGUUCAGGUGCUGAGGAGAUCGUCGAGAUAUAAGCUCCAUGAGAACAGCCACCUUGUUUACCUUGUUCAUGGAUACAGAACAGUGCCUGGUGCUCAAUAAAUGAACAGUGAGUGAAUAAGUGAGUGUUGAGUCAUCUAAGUGAGCUUAGAUGAACUGACAAUGAGACUGUGCACAAUGAAGAGAAAGGAGGACUCUUGAGGAAUUCCACCAGCUUGAAGAUGGCUGAAGAAAGAUGACAGAAAGCAAUCAGAGGGAUGGAGGGCAAACUAAGAAAGCAGAGUCAAGAGUAGGAAGAUUGGGAAGUGGUAGACAACAUUAGGAAAUACUGCAGAAAAACCUAAAAGGAUGAGAAUUAGGAAAGACACUAUUGAAUUUGGUCUUUGGGGCUGAAAAAAAAGGCAGCUGCAGAAAAGAAAUUGGAGUGGAACCCCAUUUGCACAGAAAUUAUGGAGUAAUUAGGACACCAGGCAGAAAGUUUGGCAAUGAAUGGAAGGAGAGAUGACAGCCUUGGGCAUUCGCUCGCAGAACGCAAGGACAUUCAUUCUUAAUUCAGUAGAAAAGUGUCGUGUUGUUACUGUCUCAAGUGGAAGCGCCCUCUCACUCCUUCAUUGUCCUAAGAGAACAAAAGGGGCCUUGAAUUUCAUGACUGCCCCAGUGAUGCUUCUGAGAGCUUGAGCUUUGGAAUCAGACUGCCCACAUUCAAACCCCAGUUCUUCCUAUUGCUGGCUGUGUGAUUUGGGGAAAAUUACUUGAUUCCCUAAGUUUUCUCAUCUGUGAAAUGGGGAUUCACUCAGUUAGUGAAUAUUAUUCAGCUCCUACCAUGUGCAGACACUGUUCUAGUGGGGGAUUCAGCAUACCAGCAGUAAAUGGAUCUCUGUACAAUGCCAAAAACAUGAAGCCAACUAUUCAUAGUAUUUUUAAGUGAUAUCCUGGUGCUGCUUCCAGGAAGAUGGAGUAGAUAUACUUUUCCCUAUUGCUCCCACUAAGUACAACUAAAACCCUGGACAUUAUGUAUAAACAUGCAUAAGAAGAUGCUGAAAGGUGGUAAGAAAGCAGACUGGCCAGGGACUUUGCGAUCCAAGGAACAACCUGGUGAUGAGUUUCCUGUACCCCAGACUUGGGAUAAAGGAGCUGGCAACCCAGAAAUGCCAACGGGAGCAAAUAAAAAAUCCCCAACAAAAGCCUGUUUCUCUAGACAAAGGACUAGGACAGGGGCAGCCUAACAAAACAGAAAACUCUUAGUAACAACUUACUCCAGCUAAAUAGCACAGAAAAACCUAUGGUCCACUCCCACCCACACCACCCAAGGGUGUGGGAGUCCAGGCUAUCACAAGGGGCCUCGCCUCCACUGGUGUGGUAUCGCAAAAGCCACAGGGAGCUGGUUCUUUCAUCCCCAUCUGACAAAAGGCUCCCACCCCCAUGGUGUCAGCGGAGACCACACUGGGAGCCUGAACUUCCACCCACUCACAGCUGUAACAAGGCAGUCCCUCCACCUCCCUGCUGGGGUGGUGUCAGAGGAGGCCAAGUGGAGAGUCAGGACUUUCACCAUAGCCCAGUGACAAUGAAGCCACCUCCCUAUGGUGUCAGUGGAGGCCAUAAGGAACAGUAACGAGGUCUAGUGGGAAUCCAGAACUGCCACCCUGCCCAGCAGUAACCAGGAGCCCCUCCCCUCCGUGUGGACAGAGGCCAAGUGCUGAAGCUGGACUUUGCUCCCCCUAGCCCUGCUAGGUGGCUAUUAGAACAGCCAGCUAAAACUGGUUUCACCAAGACAGAUUUAGGAAGACAGUGCCCCGGGCAGGAAAAUGAAGGCACGGAGAGGUUAAAUAUAAUAACUUGCUAGUGGUCAAUCAGUAGGCAGUAGAGGAGCCAGCAUAUAAACCCAAGCUGCCCAGCUGCAGAACCACAUUCUUGUCCCAUAUGCUAUGCCUCUCAAAAAAGGAGGCCCUCUCCUUGGGACACAAAGGUAAUAAAAAUGCCUGCCCUGAGCUGUGUCUCUGUCUAGGUACACAGUUCAUGAGUGAAGGAGCUCCUGGAGUCAUGAAUAAUGGAAGUCCAGAUUGGUCAAGUAACUUGUCCCAGCCCCAGCCCAUGCAUCUGGUAUGUGGUUGGACAGGUUUCUAACUCAUUACGUAACAUCAAGAACAUUUUAAACUGCUUUGAGACAUUUGUGAAUUAAGAUCUCAAUAAAUAGUCCUCCCUGGCACCAGCUCCAUCCACAUUAAAUGAGACUUGAAAAUUUCUUUGAAUGGAUAUUAGUUUAGAAGGAGCUAAGUUAUUAGUUGGCCUCACAUUCCUCAGUUGGGCCCUGGGCCCAGCAUGCCACUUCUCCUGGUUAUUAUGGUUCACAUCUGAGGUAACCCAUCGGGAAACUGGAUGGGACAACAAACUAAAAAUGUUUUAGUUUGGACCUGUCCAAAACCAAGAGAAUAAAAACAAAAUGGAUAGUCAAGAUGA
rnacentral:lncRNA from 1 species